rnacentral:rRNA from 1 species
CCUACGGGAGGCAGCAGUGAGGAAUAUUGGUCAAUGGACGAGAGUCUGAACCAGCCAAGUAGCGUGAAGGAUGACUGCCCUAUGGGUUGUAAACUUCUUUUAUAUGGGAAUAAACUGUUCCACGUGUGGGAUUUUGUAUGUACCAUAUGAAUAAGGAUCGGCUAACUCCGUGCCAGCAGCCGCGGUAAUACGGAGGAUCCGAGCGUUAGCCGGAUUGAUUGGGUUUAAAGGGAGCGUAGGGGGAUUGUUAAGUCAGUUGUGAAAGUUUGCGGCUCAACCGUAAAAUUGCAGUUGAAACUGGCAGUCGUGAGUACAGGAGAGGUAGGCGGAAUUCGUGGUGUAGCGGUGAAAUGCUUAGAUAUCACGAAGAACUCCGAUUGCGAAGGCAGUUCACUGGACUGCAACUGACACUGAGGCGCGAAAGUGUGGGUAUCAAACAGGAUUAGAUACCCUGUUAGUC